GGAGGCAGAACUUGAGUGGCUAAGUGUCUCCCUUUUAAGGAGAAAAUUCUGGUUCGAGUCCAGAUGCCUUCA
rnacentral:tRNA from 2 species